rnacentral:lncRNA from 1 species
GGAGAGAAGAAAACCCCUCAGAACUUAUCUUCUCCAUGAGCGCUGAUCUGAACAAAUACACAAACGGACCCCCCUCCCCUUGAAGCUUCAUCUUCCCCAUAUCUCUAAACACCAACCAAGAUCACACUCAUAAACACACAUGUAUUAAACAGAGUGAGAGAGGAACGACCUAAUUUUGAAUCCAACAGAAACAAGCAGAGAAGUUUCUGCCUCUCCUCUUCGAUUUCAAUUUUUGAUUUUUAUCUUCAACUUCAUGGAGUCCGAUUGAGGCUGAGUCGCGUGGGAUUCUCCCGAGGUUCGUCAAUUUUUAGCGAGCUUUGAGGUUAUCGAAGGUUGUGGUCCGAGGUUUCUGUCCAGUCGUAACUUUCCAUCAUGUAAAGCUCAUUCCGACUCAUUUCAAGCUUCUACUUGAAACUUCGAGCUAUUCUCUUUGCUUUCAAUAUGUAAGAUCUGAAUUUUUGUCCUCAUUAUUUUCCAGUUGCUCUCUGCUUCUGUUUUGUGGAAUAGUAUUCAACAUGUUGGUUGCGUUUUCGAUCCAUAGAUCCGUUCGUUUUAAAUCUGCCGUUGUUCAUCUGUUUAAACAUUUUGGUUUCAUUUUGUUGCAUAAACUGUGUGAUGAAGAAGACAUACAAUCAGGUCAAUAGGUAUAUCGAUUGCUAAGGAUUAUCUAGUCAUUUUUUUGGAUUCAUUACUUUGUUAUAAAAUUCUGUUGGUUUUCUUCGGUUGGAAAAUAAGUACUUCAAGAAUUGCUAUGAAUUUUAUUGAGUUGCUUGGGGUUGUUUGUUGUUGUACGAGUCGUUGGAAAACUUGUUACAUUAGUAUCCCUCUUUAAAGAUUUUGUAUCUCAUUCUUGUGGUUUGAUCGAUUAGCAACAAAACAGUGUCUUGUUAGCUACUGUUUAACAAAAUUUAGAAAUCCGUUACCAGCUUUUGGAGUCCUUACUCAUUUUCCUUAAUUCCCAUUUCUCGAACCAAAUUUGCUCUUAAAUUGAGGAUUUGAUAGCCAUACUCACAUUACCCCAGAAUUUUGAGCUUCCAUUGAGGUCAUAGUUUUAAUCAGAUUCUAUCAUGAUAUUGUUAGUGAUUUAUUUUGUUGGGUGUUAUAUAUUGUUAGCUCUAAUAUAAGCUCAAUGUUUAGUGUUGUUUUUUCAAGUUGAAGUACUGUUUAUCACUAACAUAUAUCAUGUUAGAUCUCGUUGUUAAAAUCUGUUUUUGAGUUGGCUGGAAUUUUUUAUUUUUGAUGAAGAUAUGAGUUUUGGAGUUUUAUGACUUGUGGUUAGUAGAAGUGGGUUUUUGGCACUACUUUGUUAAUGUUAAAUCUUUACCAAAUAAUCCUAUAUUCCGUACUUACAUGGCUUCCACAAAAUUUGCUAAUAGUCUAAAUUCAAUUCCUCUCAAUUUACGUUGUCCAGGGGGACAUCUUUAAUUUUUUGUAAGUUAAUGACUUAGCCGACCUAAAUAAACAAAAUAGUUGUAGAUUCUUUUAUAGUUAUGAGCCAAAGUUGAAAGGAAAUAGAAAGAUUAUCCGUGCAGCAAGUUGGUUUCCUUAAGAAUUGGUGAAGUUGGUGUUCUAGGUAUUAAAAAAUCUAUAAUAAUUGCUGAUAUGCUAUAGGUGCUCUCAACUAAUCUAUCAUCGUGAUUGUGUAUACAUUCGCAUAAUUAAGAUUCUAAAAACCAAAUCGGAGUAUGCAUUCGUGCAACUUCGAACAAAUUUUCUUAAUAAUAAAAUUUUACCUUUUUAUAAUCACACAUGGUCCUCGUAUAAAUUUUACACCCUAGAUAUAAAAAUAAUAAAUGUUCAUAGUUUGCUUUAUGCACGUUUAAUACUAUCUUGGUUGUGGACACAUUUGCAUGACAUGAUUACGAUUUUCUAAAAUCCAAAUCACAUUAUGCGUUCGCAACUUUGGCCCAAUUUUCUUAAUAAUAAUAAAUCGUUGUUAAUUAUGGACAUGUUCAUGUGACAUGAUUUUGACGUGCCAAACAAAUGGGUACAUGUGAGCGUCACCCAUUUCAAGAUAAUUUUCUUAAUUUCAAAUCAGUAAAAGAUAAAUAUAUAUAGGUUCUAAAUAAGUAAUUAAACAAUUUAAUAAGCCAAGUAUAAUCAAAGCGACCGUGCUAGAACCAUGGAACUCGGGAGUGCCUUAAACCUUCUCUCGGGUUAACAGAAUUUCUUACCCGAAUUUCUAUGUUUGCAGACUGUAUAAUAGAGUCAAACUUCCUCGAUUCGGGAUUUUAAAUCGGUGACUUGGGACACCAUAAAUUAUCCCAAGUGCCGACUCUGAUUUUUGAAUAAUCCCAUCUCGAUUGUCAUAUUAAUUGGAAAAACUCCCUUUAUUGUAUCCUCUUUCGGGGUGUAGUGUGAAAAGGAGGUGUGACAACUCUGGCGACUCUGCUGGGGAUUGAACCCAGAAUCUCUGGUUCAAGGUUCAAGAAUUCGAGCUUGUUUUUGUGAUUGUGCUUGGCUUUAUUUAUUGUUGACAUUACUGUAUUAUGUGAAUCUUUUGUGCUAAAUGAUAUCUGUUUACCGCUUUAAGAUUGUUUGAAUUGUAUAUAACUGUCUUCUUACGCUACCCCUCUGAGUCUUCUGAAAAUGGUGCACAUGUUCGCGUGGCCCUCUUUUUCUGUAGAAAUUAUACCAAAUGGAACAAGGCUGGGCAAGCGACAAGGCUGGGUAGACUUCAAUUCUCCUUGUAUGUCACCCCCUCUUUGGCCCCAGUUGUCUGCUCGGGUACCCCAUGUUUAGACCAAAACCCUAGGAUUUAUACCUAAAUAAAUACAACUUCAUGCCGGAUCCCUAGUAGGAGCGUUUGUUUGCAUCAUGUGUACUUGGCUUAGGGGAAAUAACAGACAAUCUUGAUGCAUCCUAUGUUUUACAUGUUGCAUUUAUUCAAGGGUAAAAGGGUCAUUUGAUGGACCAAUGAUAGUCGAGGGCAAAUGAAAAAAUGAAAAAAAAGAAAAGAAAAAGAAAAAAAGAGGGUGAAGUUGUGAAGAUAAAGCAAGUUUUCUGUCACAUGUUGUUAAGGAAAAAUAUAUGAAAAAUAAAGAAAACGGAAGAGAUUUUGCACUUUUUCAUCAUUUUUCGAAAAUAAAAAAAUGGAAAAAGAAAUUCAAAAAGAGUUUGGAUGUUUCAUCAUUUUUCAGAGAAAAAAACAAAAAAUAUGUUUUUCUCUAAAUUUUUUUUAAUUCUCGACUGUAUCCAAUCUGCCCGAACUACGCGUACCUGAUUCUCAUCUUUCGGGGCGUGAUACGUAGGCAACGCACAUAGGGUCCGGUCUUCUUAGUAAAUCUUAGGUUCUUGGAUUCACGAGGUCUUAGCCAAAUCUUGCACUUCUAGCCGCUUUUAGCCACAUAGGUUAGUUUAGAAAAUAGUCACAAUCAUGUCUUGCAUGUGUCCAACAGGAAAGGAUAUCAUCUCACAUACCGCUAUGGGUUUUUAAAUUUAUUUGGUCUUAAUUUUCUCAUAUAGAUGUGGGCUUACUUACCGGAAUUUGAGCAUGACAGACACCACGGGACCAUCCAGUGAGGACUGCUCAUUCUGAAGUUGCUUAUUGGAAAUUGUGUGAACUGAGUUGUGUCAGUGGACUCUACUACUGAAAUUUUAGGAGUUCAAGUUGAAAUUCUCUUGUCAAACUUCUUUUAUGCUGACAAAAUUCUGUUGGGGUCAGUGUUUGUUUGUUAGAGUAUUAUUUUUUGAUUUUGGUUCAAUCUAUGAGUUAUUCAUAGGGCAAUGUUUGAAAGAAAAUCCUGCAUUGAAUACCAAUUAUCUUUGUGCUAAGACUGUGAAGUUCUGAAGCUUGUCUUGUUGAAGUUUGCCACUAUUUGUAAAGUUUUUGGAGUAAACUGAUAGAUGAAAUUCUCCUAGUUUGAACUUGUUACCGCUGGUUUCUAAUAGUUGUUGUUAUCGUUGAGUUUAAUAGAGGGGAUUCAGUUGGACUAGAGAUUGAGCAUGCUUGAAUUGUGAUUGGUUGAACAUACAGUAAGCUAAAUCUGCCAAAAAUUUGUGUUAGUUGAGAUUGGUUUGAGUUCAGUGAUAGUUGAAAUUUGUUUUUUACUUCUAAAAUGUUCUCUUUGUUGAAUUGUGUGCUUUUGUUACAUAAACUAUUGUCGAGAUGGUUAGAAUCUGUUGAUAGAAGUUGAAGGUUUGCUGUGCAAUAAUUUGCUGUUUGUUUCUUGUUGCUGUAGAGGGUUUCGUGCUUGUUUCCCAUAGUCCUAUAUUGUUCAGUUUUUUGCUUAAUAGUGAAGAUUUCUGCAUUUCCUUUGUACAUUGAUGUUAUUGUAGUUUUUUUUUCGAAAAGUUGAGGGAAUUUUGCAAAAGUUUUAGCUUCAAUUAACUUAACUGCAUUGCUUCAGUUUAUAUGCCAACAAUACACUAAUGACAUUCAAGUUUUGAGCAG